rnacentral:rRNA from 1 species
AGAGUUUGAUCCUGGCACAGAACGAACGCUGGCGGCAGGCUUAACACAUGCAAGUCGAACGCCCGCAAGGGGAGUGGCAGACGGGUGAGUAACGCUGGGAAUCUACCCAUCUCUACGGAAUAACUCAGGGAAACUUGUGCUAAUACCGUAUACGCCCUUUUGGGGAAAGAUUUAUCGGAGAUGGAUGAGCCCGCGUUGGAUUAGCUAGUUGGUGGGGUAAAGGCCUACCAAGGCGACGAUCCAUAGCUGGUCUGAGAGGAUGAUCAGCCACAUUGGGACUGAGACACGGCCCAAACUCCUACGGGAGGCAGCAGUGGGGAAUAUUGGACAAUGGGCGCAGGCCUGAUCCAGCCAUGCCGCGUGAGUGAUGAAGGCCCUAGGGUUGUAAAGCUCUUUCACCGAUGAAGAUAAUGACUGUAGUCGGAGAAGAAGCCCCGGCUAACUUCGUG